UGUAGGAUAGGAGCCAGGAGCAUGGCCACUGAGGCAGCAGCCACCCCACGUGGUUGGUGGAGGGACAGCCCCAGUUGUCCAGGAAAGCCACGCUGCUGUAUCCUCAGUGCCCAGUCCAGCUGAGAACCGUGGGCCACAGAGCGUGCUGCGGUGGAAGCAGAGGCUCCAGCUACUCUGUCCAGGGGCCCAUCUGCCCCCUACCUCAUCCCGACGCCUCAGACUUGCCGCUUCUACCUUUCCCGGACAAGAAGUGUUCCUACAAGGAUUUGGAAGUUUCAGAAGUGCCCUCCUGCCACAUGAAGGUCCUAUGCCUAGUUUCUGUGGUACCUCCUUCCUUCUCUCCAGCGUCAUGCGCCCCGGACAGCUGUAGCUUCCCCAGAUGCUCCCACAAGGCUCUUGGAUCAGGAAACUGAGGGCAAGGUGACAACCAGAUCAUGCGUUUCACCUCUCCGUGAAUGAAAGGGGCCGGAGCACCAAACAAGACAGACGUCGUUCUUGCCUUCAUGGGAUUUACAUUCCAGUUGGUGGGGAU